rnacentral:rRNA from 1 species
UACGUAGGGGGCAAGCGUUGUCCGGAAUCAUUGGGCGUAAAGCGCGUGUAGGCGGCUCGGUAAGUCCGCUCUGAAAGCCCGGGGCUCAACCCCGGGAGGCGGGUGGAUACUGUCAAGCUCGAGUCCGGAAGAGGCGAGUGGAAUUCCUGGUGUAGCGGUGAAAUGCGCAGAUAUCAGGAGGAACACCAAUGGCGAAGGCAGCUCGCUGGGACGUGACUGACGCUGAGACGCGAAAGCGUGGGGAGCAAACAGG